rnacentral:rRNA from 1 species
AAAGGCUCAUUGCCGGGCACCUUUUUUAUUUAGGAUCCCGAGUACGGACGAUAUUUAGGUUUAGCCCGGUGGCGAACUAGGGAGAGGCGUCGGGUAGUGGCGCGGCGGCGGCGGCGGCGGCGUGGGCAGGCAGAGGAGGGAGGCGGCUCGUCGCAGGGUCAUAGGGAGGUCAGGGGUAAUACGUCUUGCUCCACCCACUAUACCACCUGGAGAUACAGGGUUCCUUCACGAGACGGUGCUUGUCCUAGUAUUGACGGUUCCUGGUGCGGAGACAGGUCUAGUUGUAGCCCGUACACCUACGCUUACCUGACAUAUUACCGUCAAAGUGGUGCAAACGGGAGAGACCUAAGCAGGCACGGGUCCCACUACGGCUACCAAGAAACCUGUCCGAGACCGUCGUCUUCUCCCGACUCUAGUUCGUCAUCUACUCAAGACGCUCCUUCUAAAACGAUCCUAUUUAUAAAUAUUUUGGCGAAUUUUGGAAAAAACUCCUUAGACAAUACCCACAAAUACGAAACGGAUACUUACCAGAUACUAUUUUGGCACCUGACGUACGUCACGAAUACCUUUGGAACGAACUUCUUAGUAAUAUAGAAACAGGUACUUACCAGAUACAAAGAGUCUGCUUUGUGAUUUGAACCACAUUAUACGAAGGACCGUUACAUGGACUUAAGACUUUACGUAAAAACAGCGACGAGAAUACUGGACAGAACCUAAUAACACGAACGAAAGAG